GCACGCGGAGCUUGUUCCCAGAGUUGGUGCGAGGAAAGUCCCCACGGCGCCUUGGCUUCGGGGGGCAGGGAAAGCACGGAU
rnacentral:ribozyme from 14 species